GACCCUGUGUAAUAAGUUUCAUAUAAAAUGAAGGAUAAAAAAGGAAAAAAUCGAAUGCAAUGUCUCAAAGCAAGUUGUGAUUGUGAUGAGUACACAAAAGAGAAAGAUUUUGAUUUGUGUGCUUAUUGUGAUCAUGCACCAGUUUUACAUAAAUAAGAUAGUUUUAAUCUUAUUGAAGAUGUUCAGUCAGUUGAUUUCACAAAGAGCAAUCCAAUGCAGAACACUUUAUCCACUUCUCCCAGUAUGUCUAGCAUGUUCUUUGAGCCUCAAAAUGAUGCAAAAGAAAAUGAAGAUGUUACACUUGAACCAGCUUUUUUAAAUGAAAGUGAAAAAGGCUUCUAUGUGUGCAGUAAUGAUUUCAUGAGCCCUUUGAAAAAGCAUUGUAUGUUUCCAGAUACAGUAUUGACUAAUAAAGUAAUUUCUACAUCGAAAACCAUUGUUUAUAAUAAAAGUUGUGCUCUCUAUG